rnacentral:rRNA from 1 species
GAGUUUGAUCCUGGCUCAGGAUGAACGCCGGCGGUGUGCCUAAUACAUGCAAGUCGUACGCACUGGCCCAACUGAUUGAUGGUGCUUGCACCUGAUCGACGAUGGAUCACCAGUGAGUGGCGGACGGGUGAGUAACACGUAGGUAACCUGCCCUGUACAGGGGAUAACAAUCAGAAAUGACUGCUAAUACCGCAUAAGACCACAGCACCGCAUGGUGCAGGGGUAAAAACUCCGGUGGUACAGGAUGGACCCGCGUCUGAUUAGCUGGUUGGUGAGGUAACGGCUCACCAAGGCGACGAUCAGUAGCCGGCUUGAGAGAGUGAACGGCCACAUUGGGACUGAGACACGGCCCAAACUCCUACGGGAGGCAGCAGUGGGGAAUAUUGCACAAUGGGGAAACCCUGAUGCAGCAACGCCGCGUGAGUGAAGAGUAUUUCGGUAUGUAAAGCUCUAUCAGCAGGGAAGAAAGUGACGGUACCUGACUAAGAAGCCCGGCUAA